CAGAUUGCAUGGCCUGAGGAUUUCACGGAGGAAGCGAGAAUCGAGCGUCGCGAUGGGGUGAAAAGACGCAGAGGCAACGCGGCCGAUAUCCUCCCCCAGGGGCUAUUUAACAGCGCAGCCAAGAAGCAGGGGGUGAAGGUCGACGAUAGCUGCGCCACGCACACAGAGAGUGGCGGACACACAGAAGGCAGGUAAGUUUAAUAUCUUCAUGUAGCAAAGCGUGCACGAGCAACUAGAAAGAGGAAGGAAACCAAGAGAUUAUUGCUUCAAUAUUGCCUCGGUGUCAGGCGUCGUAGGAACGUCUGUGUGUAUCCUUCCGUUCCUCUAC